GUCGAGCGAACAGAUAAGGAGCUUGCUCCUUUGACGUUAGCGGCGGACGGGUGAGUAACACGUGGAUAACCUACCUAUAAGACUGGGAUAACUUCGGGAAACCGGAGCUAAUACCGGAUAACAUAUUGAACCGCAUGGUUCAAUAGUGAAAGGCGGCUUUGCUGUCACUUAUAGAUGGAUCCGCGCCGUAUUAGCUAGUUGGUAAGGUAACGGCUUACCAAGGCAACGAUACGUAGCCGACCUGAGAGGGUGAUCGGCCACACUGGAACUGAGACACGGUCCAGACUCCUACGGGAGGCAGCAGUAGGGAAUCUUCCGCAAUGGGCGAAAGCCUGACGGAGCAACGCCGCGUGAGUGAUGAAGGUCUUCGGAUCGUAAAACUCUGUUAUCAGGGAAGAACAAAUGUGUAAGUAACUGUGCACAUCUUGACGGUACCUGAUCAGAAAGCCACGGCUAACUACGUGCCAGCAGCCGCGGUAAUACGUAGGUGGCAAGCGUUAUCCGGAAUUAUUGGGCGUAAAGCGCGCGUAGGCGGUUUUUUAAGUCUGAUGUGAAAGCCCACGGCUCAACCGUGGAGGGUCAUUGGAAACUGGAAAACUUGAGUGCAGAAGAGGAAAGUGGAAUUCCAUGUGUAGCGGUGAAAUGCGCAGAGAUAUGGAGGAACACCAGUGGCGAAGGCGACUUUCUGGUCUGUAACUGACGCUGAUGUGCGAAAGCGUGGGGAUCAAACAGGAUUAGAUACCCUGGUAGU
rnacentral:rRNA from 1 species